UACGGAGGGUGCAAGCGUUGUUCGGAUUUAUUGGGCGUAAAGCGCGUGUAGGCGGUUUCUUAAGUCUGAUGUGAAAGCCCUGGGCUCAACCCAGGAAGUGCAUUGGAUACUGGGAGACUUGAAUACGGGAGAGGGUAGUGGAAUUCCUAGUGUAGGAGUGAAAUCCGUAGAUAUUAGGAGGAACACCGGUGGCGAAGGCGGCUACCUGGACCGAUAUUGACGCUGAGGCACGAAAGCCAGGGGAGCAAACGGG
rnacentral:rRNA from 1 species